rnacentral:rRNA from 1 species
AGCGAACGCUGGCGGCGUGCCUAACACAUGCAAGUCGAACGUGAAAGGGAGCAAUCCUGAGUAAAGUGGCGCACGGGUGAGUAACGCGUAGGUAAUCUACCCCAGAGUCUGGAAUAACCGGCCGAAAGGCUGGCUAAUACUGGAUAGAGCGAUGGAACUCGUAAAUGAGUUUUUCGGGAAAGGGAGGAAGCAAUUCCCUUUGCUCUGGGAUGAGCCUGCGUCUCAUUAGCUAGUUGGUGAGGUAAAGGCUCACCAAGGCAAUGAUGGGUAGCUGGUCUGAGAGGAUGAUCAGCCACACUGGAACUGAAACACGGUCCAGACUCCUACGGGAGGCAGCAGUGGGGAAUCUUGCGCAAUGGACGAAAGUCUGACGCAGCCACGCCGCGUGAGUGAAGAAGGCCUUCGGGUUGUAAAGCUCUGUCGAGCGGGACGAAAAGUCACUCGGUGAAUAGCCGAGUGAUCUGACGGUACCGCUAAAGGAAGCACCGGCUAACUCCGUGCCAGCCGCCGCAGUAACAC